UUAGUGGAAGCGUCUGGAAAGGCGCGCGAUACAGGGUGACAGCCCCGUACACAAAAGCGCAUGUGCUGUGAGCUCGAUGAGUAGGGCGGGACACGUGGUAUCCUGUCUGAAUAUGGGGGGACCAUCCUCCAAGGCUAAAUACUCCUGACUGACCGAUAGUGAACCAGUACCGUGAGGGAAAGGCGAAAAGAACCCCGGCGAGGGGAGUGAAAAAGAACCUGAAACCGUGUACGUACAAGCAGUGGGAGCCCCACCACCAAAGCAUUCUCUGGUGUUGAAGGCCCUGCAAAGCAGCAUCGCGGUGGCGGAGCGUCGUUUGCGACGCCCAACACACAAAACAAGCGGUGAGUGCUUUGGGGUGGGGUGACUGCGUACCUUUUGUAUAAUGGGUCAGCGACUUAUAUUCUGUAGCAAGGUUAACCGAAUAGGGGAGCCGGAGGGAAACCGAGUCUUAAUUGGGCGUUAAGUUGCAGGGUAUAGACCCGAAACCCGGUGAUCUAGCCAUGGGCAGGUUGAAGGUUGGGUAACACUAACUGGAGGACCGAACCGACUAAUGUUGAAAAAUUAGCGGAUGACCUGUGGCUGGGGGUGAAAGGCCAAUCAAACCGGGAGAUAGCUGGUUCUCCCCGAAAGCUAUUUAGGUAGCGCCUCGUGAAUUCAUCUCCGGGGGUAGAGCACUGUUUCGGCUAGGGGGCCAUCCCGGCUUACCAACCCGAUGCAAACUGCGAAUACCGGAGAAUGUUAUCACGGGAGACACACGGCGGGUGCUAACGUCCGUCGUGAAGAGGGAAACAACCCAGACCGCCAGCUAAGGUCCCAAAGUCAUGGUUAAGUGGGAAACGAUGUGGGAAGGCCCAGACAGCCAGGAUGUUGGCUUAGAAGCAGCCAUCAUUUAAAGAAAGCGUAAUAGCUCACUGGUCGAGUCGGCCUGCGCGGAAGAUGUAACGGGGCUAAACCAUGCACCGAAGCUGCGGCAGCGAACGUAUCACUUAAAGCGAUUCAGCGGGUUACGAUUGACGGAGCGAAGCGACGUCAAAGCGUAUACAAAGUCGAGUCGGUUUAAGGAUACGUUCGUUGGGUAGGGGAGCGUUCUGUAAGCCUGYGAAGGUGKSYYGUGAGGSWUGCUGGAGGUAUCAGAAGUGCGAAUGCUGACAUAAGUAACGAUAAAGCGGGUGAAAAGCCCGCUCGCCGGAAGACCAAGGGUUCCUGUCCAACGUUAAUCGGGGCAGGGUGAGUCGACCCCUAAGGCGAGGCCGAAAGGCGUAGUCGAUGGGAAACGGGUUAAUAUUCCCGUACUUGGUGUUACUGCGAAGGGGGGACGGAGAAGGCUAUGUUGGCCGGGCGACGGUUGUCCCGGUUUAAGCGUGUAGGCUGGUUUUCCAGGCAAAUCCGGAAAAUCAAGGCUGAGGCGUGAUGACGAGGCACUACGGUGCUGAAGCAACAAAUGCCCUGCUUCCAGGAAAAGCCUCUAAGCAUCAGGUAACAUCAAAUCGUACCCCAAACCGACACAGGUGGUCAGGUAGAGAAUACCAAGGCGCUUGAGAGAACUCGGGUGAAGGAACUAGGCAAAAUGGUGCCGUAACUUCGGGAGAAGGCACGCUGACACGUAGGUGAAGUGAUUUACUCAUGGAGCUGAAGUCAGUCGAAGAUACCAGCUGGCUGCAACUGUUUAUUAAAAACACAGCACUGUGCAAACACGAAAGUGGACGUAUACGGUGUGACGCCUGCCCGGUGCCGGAAGGUUAAUUGAUGGGGUCAGCGCAAGCGAAGCUCCUGAUCGAAGCCCCGGUAAACGGCGGCCGUAACUAUAACGGUCCUAAGG
rnacentral:rRNA from 1 species